rnacentral:rRNA from 1 species
GCUAAACGCGAAGAACCUUACCAGGCCUUGACAUGCAGAGAACUUUCCAGAGAUGGAUUGGUGCCUUCGGGAACUCUGACACAGGUGCUGCAUGGCUGUCGUCAGCUCGUGUCGUGAGAUGUUGGGUUAAGUCCCGUAACGAGCGCAACCCUUGCCUUAGUUACCAGCACGUUAUGGUGGGCACUCUAAGGAGACUGCCGGUGACAAACCGGAGGAAGGUGGGGAUGGACGUCAAGUCAUCAGUGGCCCUUACGGCCUGGGCUAACACACGUGCUACAAUGGUCGGUACAGAGGGUUGCCAAGCCGCGAGGUGGAGCUAAUCUCACAAAACCGAUCGUAGUCCGGAUCGCAGUCUGCAACUCGACUGCGUGAAGUCGGAAUCGCUAGUAAUCGCGAAUCAGAAUGUCGCGGUGAAUACGUUCCCGGGUCUUGUACACACCGAGUCGUG